UUAUGAUUACAAUUGUUACAGAUGUUGAAUUAGGUUACUUAUAAAAUGAUAUUAUAUGUGUAUAAAGUUUACCGUUAGAUGUUAAAAUAAUUUUUGUCAGUAUGGAAAUUUACAUAUUCAUGUGACGUAUACAAUAUAAACAAUUAAGAAUGAAGGCGGUUUAAGAAUAUUAUUUUAUAUCUUUGUUUGGCUGACAUAACACAAAAAGAAUGUUAUCUUUUAUAAAGACCUGUUAUACUCUGGUUACAGUUGUUAAUAGAUACCAUUGAGAUGAUUUAAUCAUUUUUCCUAGUAUGUUUGUAUAGAAUCUAUAGUUUGUGAAACCAUUCCAUUAUGAUGGAAGCGCAAACAGAUGUUUCUGUUUUGCGAUCCCCAGUCAAUUUGAGACAUAUGAAUACGGGCAAUGUUUUUUAUACACCUUUAACUUCGUUUGCUGAAAUGUGGUAUCAGAUAUUUUUAUGGGCUCUAUUUUCUUCCAUUUUUGUUCAUACCAUAGCUGGUGCAAUUUGUUUUGCUACAUUAAGGCAACACAAAUAUGGAAAAUUCUUCCCAUUGCUGAUUAUAAUAAUGGGUAUAUUAUUACCAUUAACAUCAGGAGUUCUUAGCUCUGCUGCUGUUGCUUUUGUAUACAGAGCCUCUCGAUAUCCACUGCCACCAUUGUACGCAUUACUUUGGGGUAUCGGACAGACUGUUGUAGCGGGAUGUGUUGGAUUUACCAGAAUAUUAGCUACUUUAUAACAUGAAACUGUUUGAGAAUGAAUGGUGCACGAGGUGUAUUGUUACUCAGAAAUAUGGUAGAAGGGGACUGAUAUCAAUAAAUGAUCCAGUGGCAACAGCUUCUUCAAUAUUUGCGUCAACUUGAUCCAUAAUAUUGAUAC
rnacentral:misc_RNA from 1 species